UUUACUACAACUAUGUCAUGGUACGACCUCUUCUCUGACCAUUUCUUUGGGAUUGUAUCGGCAUCCUGCUGAGGAAUACGUGUGCUUUUCCCAAGAUUAGAAUAGGGGAUUGAACUCCAGGUCUGCAGUGAACUUCAUUGCCAGUUGUUUUUUUUUGAGACGGCUCCAACGUGUGAUCCUCCUGCCUCAGCCUCACAGAGUGCUGGGAUAACAGGCGUAAAAGACCUCUCUUCAGGGAGCUCAGCACCUCCUUCCCAUGUAUGCUUUCCCAAGCUCUUAAGAGUCAAGAGCUGAGUUUGGUGGUCCCAGCACUCCCAGCACUCAACUGCAGUGAAUUCAAGACCAGUCUGAACUGCAUAGGGAGACCUUAUCUCAAAAAACAGGCGGGGGAUGGAACCCAGGGCCCCGUGUGUGCUAAGGACGCUGCAGCUCGGCUGCACCUUGGGGUUCUUCUCCCUUAAAGGUGGCGGCUGUCGGCUCUGCUCACCUCCGUACCCUCUGUAUAGUGCACACGAAGUGCUCAGAUAUUUGAUAUACACAAGAGCACAACACUGCUCAUUGUAAGCUUUCCAGCGUCAGUGUGCCUGAAAAACUGCUGUCCAAAUGCUGAGCAGAACCACUGAAACAACAUGCAGAAAUGGCCUAAAGGUAACAAGACUGCAAUCUUCAGUAACAAUGAUGCUGACUCACAACAGCGCUUGCAAGCUCACCUGAUUAUACAGACAGUUAUGCAGUCACUGUGUUACAGGCAGCUGCGUUAGAAAUACCAUAGGCAGUGAGACAGGGCUGAAUCCUCAAAGGAGCCAGAGCAGAAGCCCAGAUACCUUGCAGUUAUGGGGGAGACAGACACCUCCUGCUGUGGGCCAGGCCUCAAGACAAAAAUCAAGCAAA